CAUACCAUGCAUAUGCCGACAAUAAGGCUGCAUAUACACGUAUUUUGAUACAACCUAAUACACAUCUAAGAUUGAAGCAAUACCUUCACUUGGCGCCGACACCACACUUUUAUCAUUUAAGUCCUUAUUUGAAUGUUGUUAGUUGGGGUUAAGGAUGAAACCAUAUCAAUGAUCCUCCAUUAUGUCUCAUAUCCUAUAUUUUCUUGGAUAUUAUAGUCGGAUACGGAUCAUUCGGAUAUUAACAUCUAUUUCAUAUAGAUAUCAAAAGUCUAGUUUUUGGUAUUCGAACUCGGAUUAGGUUGGAUAUUAAAUGUUCAUAUGCGUAUCUUUGCAAGGCAUGGUUGGAGGGUUUGGCAACAAAAUUUCUUUUUCUGUUUCAUCUCAAUGAUGUUUGAAAGGCGCUCUAGUUAGCAUACCAAUAUUGUUGGAGCAACUCAAGGUGUGCUUACCCCGCCAAAGUUUCUUCCGUGUGAGUGAGGUUUGUCGGUGUUUCGCAAACGGCCAAACCAGUUUGCUAAAAUCGGCUAGCAUUUUUGUGCCAAGUGCCAACAAACCCUUGAACAUUUCUCGAACACAACAUUUUCAAGUGCUCUCACUUGUUUUGACUGGAUGUGAUUGUAACACCCAAAACGUGAGUUUCAAUUAAUAGGAAUUAAUUUGAUUUAUUUAAGAGUUUGGGUGAGCAUUUGAAUCUAGCAAAAUAAAUAAUUUUGUGCAAAUUAAAAAUUUAUCCUAAGUUUAGAAACGUGAAUUUUGCAUUCAUGCUGGGGCAUAAUUAUUUUGUAUUGUAUGUUCUGUUUUAUUGUGAGUAUUUUGUUUCAAAGUUUCUUUGGAAAAGGGAAUUGAGAAAAGAAAACAGAAAAGAAUAAAAAAAAAAAAAAAAAAAAACUCCCUGGAAGACCAGGCCCCGGCCUGCCCCUUUCCCCCUCUCAUGGCCGGGCGCGGCCCAAUUCCCCCUCCCCGCGGCCCAGCAAGCCGCGGCCCAGCUGGGCAGCAGGUGCGCCUCCCUUCUUCCCCUCCUCCCUCUGGCUGACCUUCGGGCCCCGCACGUCAGCCUCCCCACGCACCUUCCCUUCUUCUUCCCCCC
rnacentral:lncRNA from 1 species